rnacentral:rRNA from 1 species
CCUACGGGAGGCAGCAGUGGGGAAUAUUGGACAAUGGGGGCAACCCUGAUCCAGCCAUGCCGCGUGUGUGAAGAAGGCCCUCGGGUUGUAAAGCACUUUCAGUGAGGAAGAACGCCUGGUGGUUAAUACCCAUCAGGAAAGACAUCACUCACAGAAGAAGCACCGGCUAACUCCGUGCCAGCAGCCGCGGUAAUACGGAGGGUGCGAGCGUUAAUCGGAAUUACUGGGCGUAAAGCGCGCGUAGGUGGCUUGAUAAGCCGGUUGUGAAAGCCCCGGGCUCAACCUGGGAACGGCAUCCGGAACUGGCAAGCUAGAGUGCAGAAGAGGAAGGUAGAAUUCCCGGUGUAGCGGUGAAAUGCGUAGAGAUCGGGAGGAAUACCAGUGGCGAAGGCGGCCUUCUGGACUGACACUGACACUGAGGUGCGAAAGCGUGGGUAGCAAACAGGAUUAGAUACCCUAGUAGUC